rnacentral:rRNA from 1 species
AGAGUUUGAUCAUGGCUCAGAGCGAACGCUGGCGGCAGGCUUAACACAUGCAAGUCGAGCGGGCGUAGCAAUACGUCAGCGGCAGACGGGUGAGUAACGCGUGGGAACGUACCUUUUGGUUCGGAACAACACAGGGAAACUUGUGCUAAUACCGGAUAAGCCCUUAAGGGGAAAGAUUUAUCGCCGAAAGAUCGGCCCGCGUCUGAUUAGCUAGUUGGUGAGGUAACGGCUCACCAAGGCGACGAUCAGUAGCUGGUCUGAGAGGAUGAUCAGCCACAUUGGGACUGAGACACGGCCCAGACUCCUACGGGAGGCAGCAGUGGGGAAUCUUGGACAAUGGGCGCAAGCCUGAUCCAGCCAUGCCGCGUGAGUGAAGAAGGCCCUAGGGUUGUAAAGCUCUUUCGGCGGGGACGAUAAUGACGGUACCCGCAGAAGAAGCCCCGGCUAACUCCGUGCCAGCCGCCGCGGUAAUAC